AUUCUGGUUGAUCCUGCCAGUAGUUAUAUGCUUGUCUCAAAGAUUAAGCCAUGCAUGUCUAAGUACACACGAAUUAAAAGUGAAACCGCAAAAGGCUCAUUAUAUCAGUUAUGGUUCCUUAGAUCGUUAACAGUUACUUGGAUAACUGUGGUAAUUCUAGAGCUAAUACAUGCAAUUAAAACACGGACCUUCUGGGACGUGUGCUUUUAUUAGACUAAAACCAAGCGAUCAAUUGAUCGUUAUAUUGGUUGAACUCUAGAUAACAUGCAGAUCGUAUGGUCUUGUACCGACGACAGAUCUUUCAAAUGUCUGCCCUAUCAACUUUUGAUGGUAGUAUCUAGGACUACCAUGGUUGCAACGGGUAACGGGGAAUCAGGGUUCGAUUCCGGAGAGGGAGCCUGAGAAACGGCUACCACAUCUAAGGAAGGCAGCAGGCGCGUAAAUUACCCACUCCCAGCUCGGGGAGGUAGUGACGAAAAAUAACAAUACAGGACUCAUAUCCGAGGCCCUGUAAUUGGAAUGAGUACACUUUAAAUCCUUUAACAAGGACCAAUUGGAGGGCAAGUCUGGUGCCAGCAGCCGCG
rfam:Drosophila willistoni strain TSC#14030-0811.24 scf2_1100000006867 genomic scaffold, whole genome shotgun sequence.